GAUGAACGCUAGCUACAGGCUUAACACAUGCAAGUCGCGGGGCAGCAUGGGGGUUGCUUGCAAUCCCCGAUGGCGACCGGCGCACGGGUGAGUAACGCGUAUCCAACCUGCCCUUCACCACGGGAUAACCCGGCGAAAGUCGGACUAAUACCGUAUGUUGUCCAUUGACGGCAUCCGAUUUGGACGAAAGGUUUGGCGGUGAGGGAUGGGGAUGCGUCCGAUUAGCCAGACGGCGGGGUAACGGCCCACCGUGGCUACGAUCGGUAGGGGUUCUGAGAGGAAGGUCCCCCACACUGGAACUGAGACACGGUCCAGACUCCUACGGGAGGCAGCAGUGAGGAAUAUUGGUCAAUGGGCGUAAGCCUGAACCAGCCAAGUAGCGUGCAGGAUGACGGCCCUAUGGGUUGUAAACUGCUUUUAUGCGGGGAUAAAGUGGCCCACGGGUGGGCUUUUGCAGGUACCGCAUGAAUAAGGACCGGCUAAUUCCGUG
rnacentral:rRNA from 1 species